rnacentral:tRNA from 1 species
GGGAACAUGGCUCAAUGGUUAAGAGCACUGACUGCUCUUUCAGAGCAUCUGGGUUCAAUUCCUAGUACCCA